rnacentral:tRNA from 1 species
GCCUGGUUGGCUCAAUCAGUAGAGCAUGCAACUCUUGAUCUUGGGAUCGUAGGUUCAAGCCCCACACUGGGUG